CGCCCGCGCGCGCGGCGGGCUACGGGAGGCAGCAGUGGGGAAUAUUGCACAAUGGGCGCAAGCCUGAUGCAGCCAUGCCGCGUGUAUGAAGAAGGCCUUCGGGUUGUAAAGUACUUUCAGCGGGGAGGAAGGUGUUGUGGUUAAUAACCACAGCAAUUGACGUUACCCGCAGAAGAAGCACCGGCUAACUCCGUGCCAGCAGCCGCGGUAAUA
rnacentral:rRNA from 1 species